GACAGAGGGUGCAAACGUUGUUCGGAAUUACUGGGCGUAAAGCGCGUGUAGGCUGCUUCGAAAGUCGGAUGUGAAAGCCCUGGGCUCAACCUAGGAAGUGCAUUCGAAACUUCGAAGCUGGAGUCCUGGAGAGGAAGGCGGAAUUCUCGGUGUAGAGGUGAAAUUCGUAGAUAUCGAGAGGAACACCGGUGGCGAAGGCGGCCUUCUGGACAGUGACUGACGCUGAGACGCGAAAGCGUGGGGAGCGAACAGG
rnacentral:rRNA from 1 species